rnacentral:rRNA from 1 species
AUUGAACGCUGGCGGCAGGCCUAACACAUGCAAGUCGAGCGGAUGAAGGGAGCUUGCUCCUGGAUUCAGCGGCGGACGGGUGAGUAAUGCCUAGGAAUCUGCCUGGUAGUGGGGGAUAACGUCCGGAAACGGGCGCUAAUACCGCAUACGUCCUGAGGGAGAAAGUGGGGGAUCUUCGGACCUCAUGCUAUCAGAUGAGCCUAGGUCGGAUUAGCUAGUUGGUGGGGUAAAGGCCUACCAAGGCGACGAUCCGUAACUGGUCUGAGAGGAUGAUCAGUCACACUGGAACUGAGACACGGUCCAGACUCCUACGGGAGGCAGCAGUGGGGAAUAUUGGACAGUGGGCGAAAGCCUGAUCCAGCCAUGCCGCGUGUGUGAAGAAGGUCUUCGGAUUGUAAAGCACUUUAAGUUGGGAGGAAGGGCAGUAAGUUAAUACCUUGCUGUUUUGACGUUACCAACAGAAUAAGCACCGGCUAACUUCGUG